UGCUCCCUCAACCUUGAUAGAAAAAAGGAGUAAAUUAGCACCACUAAUAAUUUUCAUUAACAUAAAGAAACAUUUAUGAUGUAAUACAUUUUAAAUGCAUGUUUAGAAUAUCGUUGCCAAAGAAAAAAAAUUGUAUAGUAAAUGUUUCAAAGAAAUACUCAAUAAAAGAUUGUAUGGUUCUCAUUGCAUUACUUUCACACAAAGUGGUAUCAUGGGGCUGCCAAACUAUGUCAUCGAAUCAAGUUGCAUAGCUAUUUCCAUUUAUGAUGAGGUAGAGAAGUUAUUAUGCAAAGAUUUCAUCUAGGGACUACUUCUCAAGUCAAGAAAUGUCUUUCUAAUUCUAUAUUUGGUCUACCAAUUUGGAAGCCUAAAAUAUGAGGGUGAAAUAAGAUUCGGAAGUCUCAUAAUGGUAAAUAAGCGUUACAUGAUGAAAAAUCUAAGACCAAGUCAAAGAGACUCUUCGGGUGAGGAUCAUGAGACCAUGAUAUAAUUCUAGCAACCUCACUAUCCUGAUUCCUCACUGUUCAAUGUGAUUCAAAUUCAAAGGUUUCCUUGAGAUAUUUACUUUGGUGUUGACCAUACAAAUGGACUCAAACUAAAUAUUUUUAUAUAGUUUUUUUUAACUGGUAUCCUUUGCGCACAAAUGCACAUACUAAUACCUCGAACCGAUUAUGACCACAAUGGAACAAGGUUCUCCCUCAGGAAAUUUAACAUUGCUAUAUUCCCAUAGCUGAGAAAGAAAAAGAAAAAAAACAAUUUGAGAGAAACAAAAUAAACUGAAAACACCAUUUUAUAUCCGUAAUGUAAUUGACAGAAAAAUUAACAAUUAUUGCAAUAUCCAUUUCUCAGCAUCAAGACAAAAACAUCUUUUCUGAAUAUUUAAAUGUACCACGAAAAUGUCACCAUAGAAAAUACGUGUCCAACAGAAAGUUUAUCGGAUAUACAUGCAAAAUUAGAAAUUUCCAACAACCUUUCAUAAUUUCAAUCUCUUUAUUUAUUUGAAGAUCAAGUAAUCAACUAAGGAAAGAAAAUGGAGAAAGUGAAAGUGGGGGUGAUAAUAGCAAUGAAAGGCCAUCCAGGAACUGGAAAAAGCACAUUAGCAAAAUCAAUAGCAUCAUCUCUCAAAAUCCCUCUAAUCGACAAGGACGACAUCAAAGACUGUAUUACCACCCCCCUUAUUCAAACCACACCCCCUUCACUUCUCAACGAACUAUCAUACUCCGCCAUCUUUCAAAUCGCUUCAACUCAACUCCGCGUUGGUCUCAGCCUCAUCAUCGACUCUCCUCUCUCUCGUAGGUCCCACCUCGACCGUCUUCGAAGCCUCGCCGGUGAGUAUGGCGCAAGGGUUGUGAUUAUUGAGUGUAGGCCGGGAGAUAAGGGUUUGUGGAGGAGGAGGGUGGAGGAAAGAGGUGGUGGAGGGGGACAUAAGCCGGCGACGUGGGAGGAGCUGGAGAAGAUUGUGGAAGGGUAUGGGGGGUGCGAUGAGUAUGAUGUGGGGGGUGUGCCGAAGUUGGUGAUGGAUACGACGGAGGAUGUGGAUUUGGAGAAGCUGUGUUCUCAUGCUUUGGAGUUUAUCGAAGAUCAUGCUGUUAAGUCCUUGUGAUUUAGCCACGUGUCUUUCGUCGUUGAUGAUAAUAUUUGUUAGGAAUAUUGAGUAAGUAGUAUUUUUAAUACGGCUGAAAAGUUAUUAUACAAAUAAACAUGUACUAUAUUCUUGCCUCAAAAGAAAGAAGAAGAAAAAAAUGUAUACUUUGUACCCUUAAAAAAAAGAAUGCAUAUUUUGUAAUGUUUGCUUCAUUUUCUUGAAAAUAAUACUCCCUCCAUUUCAAAAUAAAUGUCGUUUUAGUUAAAAAAAAUUGUUUUAAAAUGAAUGUCACUUUCAGUUUCCAAUGCAAUUAAUAACUUUUUCUUUUCAAUUGUAUCCUUUAAUUAAUAUUAUGUUACACUACUUCCAAAAUAUUAUUUUUUUUCUUUAUUGAAAAACAAACUAAUAGUUGAUUAGAAUAAUUUGGUAAAAUUGUUACGACAUUUUACUACUUUAUUUCAUUCUUUAAUAUGUACGUAAUUGACUAAAGCGACACUCAUUUUAAAACGGAUGGAGUAUUAUUUUUUAAAAGGUGAAAGUGUUAACUCAUUCAAGAUUAGAAGUUCAACUCUUGCUAUAAUUUUAUUUGAUUGUAGUUUCUAUGUUGGAUAUAAAAAUUAUGUAGAUAAUUUAUC
rnacentral:lncRNA from 1 species